rnacentral:rRNA from 1 species
GAUGAACGCUAGCGGCAGGCUUAAUACAUGCAAGUCGUGGGGCAGCAGGUUUGUAGCAAUACAGAUGCUGGCGACCGGCAAACGGGUGCGGAACACGUACAGAACCUUCCUUGAGCGGGGAAUAGCCCAGAGAAAUUUGGAUUAAUACCCCAUAGUAUAAUGAAGUGGCAUCACUUUAUUAUUAAAGAUUUAUCACUCGAAGAUGGCUGUGCGGCUGAUUAGGUAGUUGGCGGGGUAAAGGCCCACCAAGCCUGCGAUCAGUAACUGGUGUGAGAGCACGACCAGUCACACGGGCACUGAGACACGGGCCCGACUCCUACGGGAGGCAGCAGUAAGGAAUAUUGGUCAAUGGAGGCAACUCUGAACCAGCCAUGCCGCGUGGAGGAUGAAGGUCCUCUGGAUUGUAAACUCUUUUAUAUGGGACGAAAAAAGGCUUUUCUAAGUCGUCUGACGGUACCAUAUGAAUAAGCACCGGCUAACUCCGUGCCAGCAGCCGCGGUAA